GAUGAAGAACGCAGCGAAAUGCGAUAAGUAAUGUGAAUUGCAGAAUUCAGUGAAUCAUCGAAUCUUUGAACGCACCUUGCGCCCUUUGGCCAUUCCGAAGGGCAUGCCUGUUUGAGUAUCAUGAACACCUCAACUCUUCAUGGAUUUCCAUGAUGAGCUUGGACUUUGGGGGUCUUGCUGGCCUGUGGGUCGGCUCCUCUCAAAUGAAUCAGCUUGCCGGUUUUUGGUGGGCAUCACAGGUGUGAUAACUAUCUACGCUUGUGGUUUUCCACCAGGGUAACCUUCAGCAGUGGAGGUUCACUGGAGCUUACAAAUGUCUCUCCUCUGUGAGGACAGCCCUUUGAAUGUUUGAUCUCAAAUCAGGUAGGACUACCCGCUGAACUUAAGCAUAUCAAUAAGCGGAGGA
rnacentral:misc_RNA from 1 species